GGGUAAGUCUUUCACGACCAGCUCCUGUCAAAUCCCCCAGGCCGGGAACGGAGCAAGGGUAGACGGUUGUAGCGGUGCGAUGGAAGUAGCUUACCCAU
rnacentral:SRP_RNA from 2 species